CCGACCUUAGCUCAGUUGGAAGAGCGCAAGACUGUAAUGGAUAUAGGACAUGUCAUCUUGAUGUCGCCUGUUCGAGCCAGGCAGGUCGGA